rnacentral:lncRNA from 1 species
GGAGCCCCUCUGCCCUGUCUGGGAGGUGUACCCAACAGCUCAUUGAGAACGGGCCAUGAUGACCAUGGCGGUUUUGUGGAAUAGAAAGGGGGGAAAGAAGAUUGCACCACUGCACUCCAGCCUGGGCAACAGAGUGAGACUCUGUCUCAAAAACACACACACACACACAAAACAAACAAACAAACAAAAUAACAAAACUAAUCUUUCAAAGGUUAAACAAAACUUCUGUGGUAACGGAGGAGACAAUCCUCUUCGUGGGGUAACAGACAUGAACUACAGUAUAUAAACAUUUCUGAGAUGAAAAUAUUUAAGUUUAGAGACAGAAGAUCUUUGGCUUUAGUGUUUGCUUAAUCAGUAGGUUGGGUAUUCUAUGAACUCAGGUUUUAAAAAGCUUCAAUAAGAUGAGAUCUGUUUCUGUAAG